UGCCUAACACAUGCAAGCCGAACGAGACCUUCGGGUCGUAGUGGCGCACGGGUGCGUAACGCGUGGGAACCUGCCUUUAGGUUCGGAAUAACUCAGAGAAAUUUGAGCUAAUACCGGAUAAUGUCUUCGGACCAAAGAUUUAUCGCCUUUAGAUGGGCCCGCGUUGGAUUAGCUAGUUGGUGGGGUAAAGGCCUACCAAGGCGACGAUCCAUAGCUGGUCUGAGAGGAUGAUCAGCCACACUGGGACUGAGACACGGCCCAGACUCCUACGGGAGGCAGCAGUGGGGAAUAUUGGGACAAUGGGCGAAAGCCUGAUCCAGCGAUGCCGCGUGAGUGAUGAAGGCCUUAGGGUUGUAAAGCUCUUUUACCCGAGAUGAUAAUGACAGUAUCGGGAGAAUAAGCUCCGGCUAACUCCGUG
rnacentral:rRNA from 1 species